UACAGAGGUGCCAAGCGUUGUUCGGAUUUAUUGGGCGUAAAGGGUGCGUAGGCGGUUGCGCAAGUCGGAUGUGAAAUACCGGGGCCUAACUCCGGAACGGCAUUCGAAACUGCGCGGCUCGAGGUCUGGAGAGGUGACUGGAAUUCUCGGUGUAGCAGUGAAAUGCGUAGAUAUCGAGAGGAACACCAGAGGCGAAAGCGGGUCACUGGACAGAACCUGACGCUGAGGCACGAAAGCCAGGGGAGCAAACGGG
rnacentral:rRNA from 1 species